AAAAGGAAACCUGGUUCUGUUGAAACUUUCUUGACACUAGGAAUGGCGUUAGCCGUUUCACUGUAAGCAUGAAAAAGCUGGGAAAAGUAGCGUUAUAAUCCUAAUUAUAAAGCUCCCUUUCAACUUCUCAGUUUCACUACUUCUAGAAGACAGUGUGGGAUCGGGUUUCCACCACUUGGACACUUGGGUCUUAGGGUAAACCACCGUCUGAAUCUCUCAGUGUGAAAAGGGCACGGGACACUAAUUAGGUGGCUUCAGCUUUCUCUCCUGCAAUUGGGAUGCUUGAGGAUCCCACACACUUGAAGAUCUUUCUGCUGGUCUUGCUUCUCCAUGGAUGAUCCAUGUUUGAGGCUUUGGAAAAUGCCAUCUGUUCCCCAGAGAUAUUGCUGAGCAGAGAGCUGGCCAGGAUUUUGAGAGGCAGAGGACCUGGAGUGUUGCAGAACAUGAGAGAACCCAGGACCACAGAUCCAGUGCCCAGCAAUAAGACUUAUUUUAUUAGAUCCUUGGGAUCCUUCUGGGAAAUGGGGCAGGAGUCAUCUUCCUGGCUUGGGAGAGGAGGUGGGCAAGUUAACUAGACACCCCAGAGCCAGUGGAGGAAAAGAGAGAUGAGGGAGUUUUCUAAGGGGCUAAGUCACUUUCUUUUUGCAAGAUAUACCCCACACUCACAACUUAGAGGAGGAGAGGUUUAUUUUGGCUAGUGGUUAUAGUCCUUGGUCAGAUAGCUCCAGGGCAAACAUGGCAAGUCAGAGAGGGGAUAGUGGAAGAAAGUGUUGACAUCAUGGUGAUCUGGAAGAGGAGAAAAGCGAGGGGCCAGGAAAAAGAUUCACCUUCCAGGCCACACCCCAGUGACCAUCUUCUUCUGACCAGACUCCACCUCAUAACAGCAAAUCAGCUAUAUUAACCCAUGAUUCAGUCUCCUUCUAAAAGCCCUGCCUAUACAUGCAUGAGGCCUCUGGGGGACAUCUUCAAUCUAAAACAUAACAGCAAAGUCCUUCUGAAACUUCUCUGGAGUUUGCAGUAGCCCUGAAAGUCCCACUGCCCGAGGACACCCAAACACAGUUUUGUUGAAUUCUGUUGAAACACACGUGGACUUCACAAGCUGGCUCUUUCUGCCUUCUGCUGUUCGUUCCUCAAAAUGCAGACAGAUAUGUUUGAACGGGAAAACGUUUGCCAGCUAUGGACAACCCAAGCGUCUGCAUCACUCUGACUUUCAGGGAUUGAAGUUGGGACCUUGUGCUUGCAGGACAGGCGGAG